CAGAUCAAAAUGUCUAACAGUAGAUGUAAAGUGGAUGCAAUGUCUGUAUCCAACAGACAUUAUGUGGCUUUGAAUUUAGGCACUGUAAUUAUAACCUAGAAGACUCUGUAAGAGUCUUCAUGGGAAAAUCAUCACAGGAAGAAGAGAAACAAGUUGCAGCAAAAGUCACAGUGGGGUAGCUGUCCCUAGAGUUGAACAGACACAUUUCAAGCCUUAUCCAAGUUUAGGACUUUUGGAAAGCAUUGCAGUUGCGAAUAAGAGAAUGUGCUUGGAAUCUUACUCUUGUGCAUUGAAGAAGGAUAAGAAACAGGAAGAAGUAGAAGAAUAAGGGGCUGGAGAUCAAGACCUACCCAUUGUGAUGAAUAAAUCCAGGCUCUCAGCAAUGCAGGGAGAAAAAGUUUUGUCUAUCAACACUGCAGCAACCAGGUAAUUCUGUGCACAGACCAAGUCUCUUAGCACAGGCACCAGCCCUGGAGUUCAUGUCCUCAUCAAAGGAUGGAAAGAAGCAAAGCUCAAAUCAGCUUGGGAAGGACCUUACCUAGUGCUCCUGACCACUGUAACCAUCAUCCAGACAGCAGAGAAAGGAUGGACUCAUUAUACCCGAGUCAAAGUGUUGCCACCUCCACAGUCAUGGGCCAUUGUUCCAGGGGAAAGCCCUACCAAAUUAAAGCUAAGAAAAACUUAUCACCUUUCCUCACUUUGUAACUAGUCACCUUAUUAACGUAACUAGAUCAAGCCUACCUCAAGUUACCACUUUUCACACUUG
rnacentral:lncRNA from 1 species